rnacentral:rRNA from 1 species
UACGUAGGGCGCAAGCGUUAUCCGGAAUUAUUGGGCGUAAAGAGCUCGUAGGCGGCUUGUCGCGUCGAAUGUGAAAUCUCGGGGCUCAACUCCGAGCUUGCAUUCGAUACGGGCAGGCUAGAGUUCGGUAGGGGAGACUGGAAUUCCUGGUGUAGCGGUGAAAUGCGUAGAUAUCAGGAGGAACACCGAUGGCGAAGGCAGGUCACUGGGCCGCAACUGACGCUGAGGAGCGAAAGCAUGGGGAGCGAACAGG